GUAGGUGGCUUGUAAAGUGAAUAGUGAAACCUGGUGGCUCAACCAUACAGACUAUUAGUCAAACUCACAAGCUCGAGAGUAGCAGAGGUAACNUGGAAUUUCUUGUGUAGGAGUGAAAUCCGUAGAUAUAAGAAGGAACACCAAUGGCGUAGGCAGGUUACUGGGCUAUUUCUGACACUGAGGCACGAAAGCGUGGGGAGCGAACCGGAUUAGAUACCCGGGUAGUCCACGCCGUAAACGAUGGAUACUAGCUGUUGGAGGUAUCGCCCCCUUCAGUAGCGAAGCUAACGCGUUAAGUAUCCCGCCUGUGGAGUACGGUCGCAAGACUAAAACAUAAAGGAAUUGACGGGGACCCGCACAAGCGGUGGAUCGUGUUCUUUAAUUCGAUGAUAAACGAAGAACCUUACCAGGGUUUGACAUCCUUGGAAUUUCUGUGAAAGCAGAGAGUGCUUUAUUGAGCCAAGUGACAGGUGAUGCAUGGCCGUCGUCAGCUCGUGUCGUGAGAUGUUUGGUUAAGUCCAUCAACGAGCGCAACCCUUGUGAAUAGUUGUAUUUUUCUAUUCAGACUGCCCCGGUAACGGGGAGGAAGGAGGGGAUGAUGUCAGGUCAGUAUUUCCCUUACACCCUGGGCUAGAAACACGAUACAAUGGUUAGUACAAUGCGCAGCGAAGCCGCGAGGUGGAGCAAAUCGCAUCAAAGCUAAUCUCAGU
rnacentral:rRNA from 1 species